rnacentral:rRNA from 1 species
AGGCUGCAACUCGCCUGCAUGAAGUCGGAAUUGCUAGUAAUCGCAGAUCAGCAUGCUGCGGUGAAUACGUUCCCGGGCCUUGUACACACCGCCCGUCACACCAUGGGAGUUGGUAACACCCGAAGUCGGUAGCCUAACCGUAAGGAGGGCGCCGCCGAAGGUGGGAUUGAUGACUGGGGUGAAGUCGUAACAAGGUAGC